rnacentral:sRNA from 1 species
CAGGGGAGAAAAAGGAAGUUGUCCUCCACGAACGCCUGGAAUCGCAGUGGAUUUGAAUCGAAAGUUGUUCGGUCUUUGGGGAAGGAUCAACAAAGAGCUAUGUGUUUAGUCUACCAUCCUUAACCAGAAGUCUGGGACAUAAUUCUUUAUAAAAAUAGGGGCUUUGUUAUGCACCUAAAGCCAUACUGGAAGCUCCAGAAGAAAGAGCACCCCCCGGAAGUCAGCAGGGAAACGCAGAGAACUCCUAUGAACCACCAAAAGGCUGUAAAUGAUGAAACAUGCAAAGCUAGCCACAUAACACCAAGUAUCUUUCCUUCACCCUCUCUCGAUCAGCCACUCUUGAUCUGGUUUUCAUGUGGGACACAAAGCUGUGACUGCGUGAGGGGUUAAAGUGACCAAGAGCAGAGGGCACACCCUCACUUGAUCAUUUGAAG